GGACGCGUAGCUCAGCUGGUUAGAGCGUUGCGCUCACAUCGCAGAGGUCACAGGUUCAACUCCUGUCGCGUCCACCA
rnacentral:tRNA from 1 species